AUGGAGUACCUUCAACGUCUGCUCGGGGCUCUGCAACAGGCAGUGAGUUUUGCUUCCUCCUUCACCACCUACCUCCUUGGAGAUGAUCCUCAUCCAGGAGCAGAAGAUUCAAGAGAUGCGAGGGAGAGAAGGCAUGAAGGCAGCUGUCCUGACUGUGAAGUUGAGACAACACGCAACGGCACAGAUAUUUCUCCAAGGGAACAUCUGGAGAUCUUUGAAGGUCCACUUACCACAAAGGAGAUCCCACCUGACUUGGAGAUCCAAGUAACACCAGAAGCAGCUGUCCAUGGAACUCAAUCUACCGAGUCCAUUCUUGAACUUGCCAAAUUGUCCUCCAGAUAUGAGGGAUGGGAAGAGUCAAAGGAGAAGCCCUCAGAGACAUGCCGGAUCCCAGCUGAUGCCCAAGAAGAAAUGGUCACAACAACAGUGACUGGCAACGUCAAAGAGACAGACCUGAAGGGGUCAGCCCUGACUCAGGGGAUCCAUCCAUGGGAUGCAGGAAGAACUAUCUGGGCAGAUGCACCUGAGAAAGAAGUACAAGCAGAGGUGGCAGAUACAAAGUGGGAACUAGCUGGACCAUUGGCUGGAGGCAAACAUCAUGGAGAACUGAGUGAGGAAGGAGGGACCAAUGUGGGUCAGGAAAGAGAGCUGAAGGAAAAUUUGUGGAAUGAGGAGGUUUGGAAAGAGACCUCAAACUUGGCACAGUUUUUAGGGGAACAGGAGAGAGAGCGAGGGAAGACAGAACAGCCUGGAAGAUUUCAUCAUGAGGAGGUAGGCAAAAUGAUGGAAGAUCAGCACUUGAAAUCUGAGAAAUACCAGGAAGAAGAAAUCAUUAAAGAGCAGCCUGACAUGGUGGUAGUGAAAGAAGACAUUCAGCAGGCCAUGCUGGAUAAUGUAGGGACUCUGGGAGACCAGGAGGAGGCACUAGAAGAGGAAAAGGAGACAGGGAGAAGUCAUCAGUGGGAGGCAAAAGAAAAACCAGAAAUAGGAGAGGCUAGCAAAGUGGAGGAAAGAGAAGUAGAGAAAGCAGUGUGCAACAAGGGGGGUCAGGAGGGAGCAGUAGAUUGGGUCCCAUUUGUAGAGCAAUGUCAUGGAGGGGCAGAGAAGGCAGUAUGGCUGGAGGGCGUUCAGCAUGAGGUGCUGGAAGUAGCAGACGAAAUGGUGGGGAGCCAAGAAUUAGAGUCAAAGAUGGAAGAAAAAGAACUAGUAGAGGCUACAAAGGGCCAGCAGGAGGAAUUAGAUAUGUUGGCAAUGAAAGAAGGAAGUGAGCAAGCAAUGCCAGGCAGAGCAGAGAUUCCAGAGGCGUUGGAGGGUGAAGGCAAGCCAUGGCAAAGGAGCCAUCAGCGGAAGACCGGCAGGGAAUUAGAAGAAGUAGGAGAGACCAGCAGAUGGAAGAGACAGCUGGAGGGCACUUCGUGGAAGGAAGGGGUUCAGGAAGAGGCAGCAGUUCGGGCACAGUUUACAGAAGAACUGCAUGGAAGUCUACAGAAGGCAGCAUGGACAGAGGGGCUGCAGAAUAAAGAACUAGAGCAGGCAGCCAAGGCAGUGGAGAGCCUGCAGUUCGAGGCUGAAGAGAAGCAAGGGGAAAUCGUGGAGGCAGAUGAAGGCUGGCAGGGACAGCCCAAUAUUGCAGCAGAGAAAGAAGGAUUUCAGCAAACAAGGCUAUGUGGAGCAGAGAUGGAGGAGGAGGUGGAGUUAGAAGAAGAAAAAGUGGUUGGGAGGGACCAUCAGUGGGAUGUCAAAGAUGCAGGAGGAACCACAGUCUGUCGGGAGAAAGGGCCAGAGGAAGCCACGUGGGACGGAGGGGUUCAGGGUGGCUCACAGCUUCUUGAGGAAGAGCAGAGAAGGCUAGAGGGGGCAGCAUGGAAUGGAGGACUUCAGCAUGGAGUGAUGGAGGGCUGGGACAGAAUGGUGGAGAGCAAGCAGUUGGAGCUGGAGGAAGCAGAGAAAGAAGAAGCCGAGGCUGAAAAGAUCUACCAGGAGGAGCCAGAUGUGAUUGUAGAGAAAGAAGGACUUCAGCAAGCAGGGUGGAGUGAGGCAGAGACUGAGGUGGGGUGGCAGGAGGACAUGGAAGGGGAACAUGAGAUUGCAAAAUGCCAUCAGUGGGAGCUUGAAGGAAAAGCAGAAGAGCCAGAAGGGAGCGAAGUGGGGCAGGAGCAGGAGGGAUUGUCAUCAAAUAUGGAGGUUCAGCAAGAGGCGCCGUACCAGUGGCAGUUUCUAGAGGAACAGCAGAGCAGGCUAGAGGGGGCAACAAGGUCUGAAGGAUUUCAGAGUGGAGAGCUGGAGGAGCCAACCAAGAUAACAGAGAACCCACAGUUGGAGGCUGAAAAGAGAGAGGAACAAGAAGCUGAGGCAGAAGACAAAGAAGGGGUGGCAGUGAAGGAGACAGUCCAGCAAGUGAUGUUUUCUGGGGCAAAGGCUGAAAGAGAACAAAAUGAGGUGGUAGAAGGAGAGGAAGUUGGAAGGAACCACCAGCAAGAGGUAGAGGAAAUGGAGUCAUUGGAAGAUCAGGACAGGAAGCCAAAAGAAGUAGCAGACCUCAGAGAAGAUGACCAGGGAGAAUUGGAAGGGGCAGAAAAACUAGAAGGACACCAAGGGGAGGAAAUAGAGGAAUCUGAGAGAAAUAGGGUAGACAUUAAAGGAGAAGAAGAGGAGAAGCAAACAGGAGAUGCCAUUCUGGAGACUGAACAAAGGGAAGAGUUGGAUAGGCUGGCAGAAGCUCAUGGCCUUGAUGAAGAAGCGCUGGGUGAAAUUACAAGAGACCCAGAAAAGGCUGAGAGGAGUCCACAACCUGAACCUGUGACAUACAGCCCUUCCCUUGAAAAAGACCACCUGGCAGAGACUAGAGUUUUCCCAACCAAGGUAAGCAUAACAAAGAAGGAAAGCAGGGCAACAUGGUGGGAGUCAAGAUGCUGCCCUCAUCCAACCCACUUCUGUUUUGUAGGUCGCACCCCUGGAUACAAGUGCUCAGAAGGAACGGGUGCUGCUGCGUCGUAAGAGCUCCAUCCGACGGGCACCUAGCAUGAAAAAAGUGAGAUCGCCCACUGAGAGCUCACCUCAGGAGAUGCAAAGCGUUGAGGACACUCCACCUCCACCUCCAGCACAAGCAACAAGCAGGCCAAUCCUGAGGCAUUCUGGGUAAAUAUGAAUGUUCUGUCCAACUGCCUGCUAGGAACUGAGGGGGAAACAGGUAGAAAUUGGGAUCCAUGACCUGCUUUUUGUCUCACUCUGCACAUUCUUUCUGCCACUUCAGGUUUGGACCUAUGCACCCCAACAUGAUGGCAGAACUGCAGAUACGCCUGCGCAAACCCCAGUAACCACAAAUUCAGAGGUGUUUCUGGGGUAAAGAACAUGCAAACUCUCUCUAUCUUGAGUCAGACUGCCUUGACAAAGAUUGUGGGAGCCAAGAGAAGCACAUAAAAUUUUCCACAGAUGGGAUGGAAGAGAUUCUAGUACAAAGUGUACUACCAUGACAUUGAUAUCAAAGGUGAUUUUGACAGGAGAGUUCUGUAGCAAUGCUAAGGCAUUGCUUUUCUAUAUACAUCUGGAAGUGUAAUUAAAACAUUCAUUCCAGAGCUUAAUAUCACUCUCUUACCUGUGAAAAUCCAGUAAUGUUUGCCUCAUGGGCAAGUUUCUGCUGUAUGUUUUCUCAAAAAGAAUUCUUAUUCGGCAAAGGUCUUCCUCUAUUCCUUUUAUUAUUUGAGCCUUUCUUGUCUUUCUCUUUUAAUAUAUCUGAUAAGUUGCUUUUUGUGGCAUUCUUGAUUUGUCCCUUAGUUACAUCAAUUACCUUUCUUUAUGCUGGGACCCCACAACGCUUUAAUUACUGCUUUCCUCCUUUUAGCUACAUCUAAAAAACAAUUGUACAUUUAUUUUAAUUAUCACACUUGCAAAUUUCUGGUCAGUUUUUUAAGUUCGAAUCCACACGACGGAAUGAGCGCCCGUCGCUUGUCCCAGCUCCCGCCAACCUAGCGGUUCAAAAGCAUGCAAAUGCAAGUAGAUAAAUAGGGACCACCUCGGUGGGAAGGUAACAGCGUUCCGUGUCUAAGUCACCACAAUUGCAAAUUUUUGGUCAGUUUUUUAAAAGGCAAUGAGCAGUUACACUAUCUGCAAAGCAAUUUUAAGAGACCGAAGGCUCCCGCAAGAAGGUUAGAAUGCAGGAAUCCAGAAAUGAAGUAAGUGAAGAGGAAGGCAUGGUUUACUUUACAAGAAAGGAAGCUACUAAUUAAAGGGAUGAGAGCCCUGAAAAAUCUUAGUAAUGCUUUGGAUAUGCUGGUAUUCCAGUUGUGUUUUAAGGCAACCUCUCCACCCCCAAAGAAACAACCUGCAAAUCGGUUCUAUGGCUGAUGGAGGGUUCUUUAUACUUGCAAGUUAACAGGUAUAGUGAAAGUAUUGUGUCUUUUUCUUAAUCGGCCUGCAUGAGUGAGAAAAAAGAUAGCAAAAGUGUUGAAGAAACAAAGAGGGAAAAUCACACGCAUAAUGAACACUUGCAGGGUGUCUGAGACAGUUUGGUCUCUUUGCUUGUUUGAACACAUUGUUUCCAGCAUGCCUCUCUCAACUAGGAAAUCCUGAAAUUUCCACGGUAACUUGCUAAAUAAUGUCCAAACCAAAGGAGCUUUUUCCCCCCUUGGAUUUCCAAGCACAGAUCUUUUCCUCAUUUCCCUCUGCCCCAUUUUUCAUUUCAUUCAUCCCCUGGCCAAACGGUUCCUAGUGAUAGUAUUUUAUUCUGUUGUAACAUUUGCAAAUCCAAGUUUAUAAGUCGAUUGAGCAAAAAGCACAUGAUAGAGCCUGGUAGUCAUUUUUAAAAUUAUUGUUAUUAAUUACAGUUCCUUAGCUACAAUGGCCAGUGUUAACUUUUCCAAGCUCAUGUGCUCAUUAAUAACAGCAAGAUAUGGACUGUAUUUCCUAAGCAGAAUGUAUGACCUAGAGAGGGCAAUUUAAGCCUUCCUGCCCUCAUUUUCAACUUGCCUCCUUUCUUCACAGCUUGGUGAAUUCCUGCUCUUUAACAAAGGGUUCCAUGUGAUAAUCGAACAGAGCAAAAAGUACAUGAUAGAGCUUGGUAGUCAUUUUUAAAAUUAUUAUUAAUUACAGUUCCCCAGCUACAAUGGCCAGUGUUAACUUUUCCAAGCUCAUGUGCUCAUUAAUAACAGCAAGAUAUGGACUGUAUUUCCUAAGCAGAAUGUAUGACCUAGAGAGGGCAAUUUAAGCCUUCCUGCCCUCAUUUUCAACUUGCCUCCUUUCUUCACAGCUUGGUGAAUUCCUGCUCUUUAACAAAGGGUUCCAUGUGAUAAUCAAUAGGUUAAACAUGCUUAUCUACUUAUGUGGAUGUCCCACUUCUUGCCUAAACAUUUAUUUUUUUAAGAGGCAAAUGUUUCAUGCUUACUAUAUAGUCUCUAUUAUAUCACACACACACCCGCCCCAGAUUUUCCACUCCACUGUUUUUGGACUAGGCUUGUGUGACCAGAACUCUCUGCUAAACAAAUGGGAUUGGUAGCAAUGUAUACAGUAUGCAUAUUACAUAUCUGACUUAGUGAUGUCAGUUUCUUAGGUGGCCACCAUAGCAGUGUUCUUAUACUAACCAUGUCACAUCCAGACACCAGUGAGCAGUCAUGUUCAUUUUUAUGGCAUGAAUGCUGCCUCUAUAGGUUUUCUGGCUAGCUAGCAACUUUACUGUGCGACCGCACAAGCCCUUUUGGUGUGGGCUAGUGUGGUCUAAAUAGGAGUGCUUGACUGGAGGGGAGGAGUGAUGUGCCAUUUGGCCCAAUCCACAUAUCCAAAUGCCAUAUUGACCUCAAGUGAGCCUUCGGCAACUUCUGUUGUCAAGCUCUUAUACCAACCAUGUCACAUCCAGACACCAGUGGGCAGUCAUGUUUAUUUUUAUGGCAUGAAUGCUGCCUCUGGAGGUUUUCUGGCCAGCUAGCAACUUUACUGUGCGACUGCACAAGCCCUUUUGGUGUGGGCUGGUGUGGUCUAAAUAGGAGUGCUUGACUUGAGGGGAGGAGUGAUGUGCCAUUUGGCCCAAUCCACAUAUCCAAAUGCCAUAUUGACCUCAAGUGAGCCUUCGGCAACUUCUGUUGUCAAGUGUCAGUUGAACACUGUGCCUUUCAGUUGAACAAAUAAGUACUGUAUGUAUAAAUGAGAUAUUUCAGAUAAGCAAUACUGAUCUUCAUAAAUAAGAAAUAUUCAUAAAUUACAAAUAACUGGCCUUCUUGCUAAAUUCCUUCCAGUCUGUAUCAGAGGUUCUUUAGUUAACAUCCAGAUGUCUUGUAGGUGGUGGCAAAGCAGAAUAACUUUAUGGUGUGACAUCCUAACUGGGGAAUGAUCUCCUUAGGGGCACUGGGUCAGUGCCCACUUUGUGAUAACAUUUUAUUUCUGUUAUGUCAAUUUUCUUGUUGACAUUUGCUACUUUUAGUUUGGCUUUCAGAUACUCUUGCCAUGCAGCCUGUGAUGUUAAAUUUAUUGCGAGUUUAAAAAUUGUUAUUUUAAUAUAAUCUGUUCUUGCUUUUUCUUGAAAGCUUCAGCUGAAAAUCAGCAUUGAAAUAUUCUCAAUAAAUGGAUAAAAUAAAAGCA
ensembl:lncRNA trichohyalin-like